rnacentral:tRNA from 1 species
GCGGAACGCCCUUGGUUUCUAGACCAAUUCUAUCAUAAUCCUCAGUCUUCCAAACUGAUUACGCGGGUUCGAUUCCCGUCAUCCGCUCCA